UAGGGAAUAUUGCACAAUGGGGGAAACCCUGAUGCAGCGACGCCGCGUGAGUGAUGAAGGCCUUCGGGUCGUAAAGCUCUGUCGUAUGGGACUAACACAAUGAAGGUACCAUGCAAGAAAGGAUCGGCUAACUUCGUGCCAGCAGCCGCGGUAAGACGAGGGAUCCUAGCGUUGUUCGGAAUCAUUGGGCGUAAAGCGGGUGUAGGCGGAUCUAUAAGUCAGGUGUGAAAUCCCAGGGCUCAACCCUGGAAGUGCAUUUGAUACUGUAGAUCUUGAAUGUGGUAGAGGUUACUGGAUUUGUUGGUGUAGUGGUGAAAUACGUAGAUAUCAACAGGAAUACCGGAGGCGAAGGCGAGUAACUGGGCCAACAUUGACGCUGAGAUCCGAAAGUGUGGGGAUCAAACA
rnacentral:rRNA from 1 species